UUGGUAACCACUGUCAGAUCCUGGAGGCA
rnacentral:piRNA from 1 species